GGCAGAUGAUGUCUGUAUUCACAAUGGUUUUUGUAUGUAUGCUACAGAUACUGCCAAAACAGCCAAAUUGGCAAAAGUUGAUACCAGAAU